UCGGACCGAACUAGCAGUGUUCAGCGACGUUACCGCUCUGCGCUGGUGGGCACCCAGGUUAACUGGGAGCUGAAUGUGUUUAAAAUGAGUAUGUUACUUGAAAUUUAAUAUAAAUACCAGGGAUAAAGCACAGAGGGAGGUUACACAAUUUUAAAAUGAUUUCCACGCCGUUUAAUUAAUCUUUAAAAUGUUAAGAGUAUUAUUUUAAAUAUUCGAUCUGAUAGCUUUUUUUUACCAGACUAUAAGUCUCUGCAUGAUAUUCUUGAUAGAAGGGCUUUUAGUAAAAUUUCUAAGGGUACUGAUUUCCAUUCCUCUUCUACUUUCUAGUUCAGCAAUCGUCAUGGGUUUGUACUUAAGAAGAGUUCUUUAUGAAGAGGAAAAAUACACUAUAAUUCAUAGGUGAAACGUCCGAGGAAUCAGCAGGAAUAUGAUGAAAAGGUACAUUGAUGUACAAUUGCUAAGGACGGAUGACAGUAACAGGGAUGGCAAGAACAAAAUGGAAGGCAGAAAAAUGUGAAAAUUAGCAUUAAGUGCGGGAUGCAGUAAGACGUGUUGUGCAUAUGAAAAGUUUGGAUUGACGAUGUUAUUUGUCAAAUGAUGCGCUUAUUAUAAAAGAGAUAAAGUAUUUGACGCGUAUUGACAUUUGUUAUUCAAAAGCAAAAUUUAACGGGUAAGCAUGUAAUUGACGAACUUGAAAUUGUCUUUCCGACGUCAUUUAGAUUAGAUCCUAUUAGUGGAAACGUUGAAGAAGGGCGAAAAACAACAGAUGUUGCUACGACGUCAGCCAUAGUGUUGUUUCAAGGCUUUGGAAGUCACUUCAAACAAAUGGAAUGUGUAGCAAACGUCACGGGAAGGUCAUGUUCGCAAUGCGACGCCCGCAGAAGAUGGGUACAUAGUGCUAUCAACAAAAAUGAAUCGACGAAGCACAGUUAUUGAGGUAACAAAUCAGUUACCUUCUGCAACUGGCAAGCGAAGCUUCGCAAAACUGUAGCCAGACGUUUGCAUCAAAGAUGACUAUACGCCUGUCGUCCCGUUGAGUGCAUUCCAUUACAUAGACAACAACGUAUUGCUCGUUUGCAAUGGUAUAAUGAGCAUCGUAACUGGAUUAAAUAGAACUGGUUUUGUGUACUAGUCUUAAAGCACAGUAGAUUCAGUCUGUGAUUGGAUUACAGACGCCAACUUAUCUGGCGUGUGAGUGGUACUGCUUAUCGUCCAGAAAAUAUCCACGAAAGGACAGGUAUUAAAGAUGCAGUAUCAGGGUAAUGGCCGACAUUAUGAUCAAUGGCCGCACGUCCGUACACAUAUUUGCAACUGGUAAUAUGACUGGCCAGCAAUACAUUAAUGAUGCUCUGCUGCUUCAUGUUCGCAUGUUCCAUGCUGCUGUCUAUGACAAAUUUGUUUCAUGGACAACAAUGCAGCAUGCCAUCGAACAGUAGCCGUAGGACACCCUUAUCCGUGACGACAGAUGAAGGGGAUAAAUUACCCCAACAGCUGUUGGAUAAUGUUGUGCAAAGUAGGAAACGACUUGUGGAAUCUUCCCUCAUCCUCCAUGAUGACCGUAUACCAAACUGACAUCUUACGUCAGAAUACCUGUGUACGAUGACUGCAGUUUUUUCACUUUUACGUAUUCAGCACAAUAUGAUUAUUUUGUCUCUUGAACACUUUUAAAAGAAUUCUGCACUCAUGUUCACAAAUUAAGGAUAAUGCCAGCUCCAACAAAUAAAGCCUUAGAAACAAAGCAAAUAUGACUUCUUCACAAAGCCCAUUUAUUAAACAUCUUGUACCUUCGCAACGAUGUCGUUCAAUGAUGUUGUCUUGGUGGUAAGCGGGUAACUGAAGUUCUCCAUAUGAAAGUCCGAGUGGGAUCAGACUGCAAGUUAAAGACUCUUCGAAAAGCGUCACACAAGCCCAAUGUGACGAUGUCCACAUUUCAUUUUCUCUACUCCAGGCUAACCGCUGGCGACAGUGAGUUGCAUUGAGCGAAACACAUCUGAUAAGCCUCCAAGCAUAUAAAACCAAACUGUCCCAAACGUCUGUUCACGGUUUGCCUCGAAACUGUCGUACCACAGCUGGUGAGACAGGUCUGAUGCUGUGCUCCGUCUGUUUCUUUUGGCAGUUACUACCGAAUACCGGUCGUCAUUUGGCGUUGUAACUCAGGGGCCACCUGUACUGUAACGUCUACUGACAUUUCCAUCAUUUUGGAAUCUUUACCAAAGCCUAGAGAUGACACUUUGAGACCUUUACAAGAUUCGAGUUCCGGCUCAACGAAUCAGCCGUUUGCAUCCAUUAUUCCGAUUAGUACUCAGAAGUUGACCAUAAAAAAUUCUGGCUAGCUUCUUAAUGACUUCAACUUAAAAAAGAUCGGGAUUUUAGCUUCAUGGUUUUGCACCCCAUGGUGAAUAGGAAGUGGAUAAUCCAUCACAAAGAGAUUCUUAAAAUUUCAAGAUGGCAAGAUAAGCAGUUCUGACGAUUCGAGAUGAUCUCAACCAAUAAAGAUAAGUCCUGAGGUAUUUUAAUGAAGCUGUAUGCACACUAGGAAAAAUAAUUCUUUUGCUCUUAAGAUCAAACUGAUGACAGCGUAUCAUUUUUAUUUUAAGACAACACUAAUAAUUUUUCCUUAAUUGUAUAAAGAGGAAUAAACCUUAGAUUUGCGUUGCCAA